GCGGGCUGAGGGGGGUGUCCACAUGGCAUAAGGGAAAGGGCAGCCAGGCAUGAGAACUGAAAGCCUGAGGACGUAGGCCUAUGUGGGCUGUGUAAGCCUCAGCAAGGUAAGGAGUGGCCACACGGGGCAAGGGACAGCCUAGAAUGAGUCAGAGCUCCAGCAAGGAGAAAAGAGCAUCCAUCUGGGGGAGAUAGAAAAAUGGCUGCCUUCAGGAAGACUGAUCAAAGAAAAUACAUUUUUAAAGGAACAGCUGAUUGUCAAUAAGCAGGGAAGUGGUGCGAGAGAAAGAUGCUAGAUGUGUGUGACAAACCACAAGCCCGGUGUGGCUGGAGUACGAUGAAGGAGAAGGAGAGAUGUCCCAAAUGUGCAGAGGAACUCAAAGGAGGAUUUAACCAAGGUUGGAGUUUUUUCCAAGAAAAGCUUUAUAAUACUCCUUCAUCCUUACCCGUCCAACCAGGAUCUGGCCAUGAGUGGUGAAGCUGGAAAUGGAAAACCCAGGUAUUGCCUGGUAAUCAAUGUAAUCUCAGAACAUUAGGAACCUUUGUUGCAAAUACUCACUUUGAUCAAAAGUCAUCCCAAUGUCAAAAGAAAAUGUAUUUAUAAAGAAAACAACAUAAAAUCCAGAAAAACUACUUAAAAAACAACGAACUGAAAGGACUGACAAGCAACCAAAAGUAAGAAGAAAUUAGAGAAGAGUCAACACUACAAAGGAGUGGCACCAUGGUAUAGUCAUACAAUGGAAUACUACUUAUCAA